rnacentral:rRNA from 1 species
GACGAACGCUGGCGGCGUGCCUAAAACAUGCAAGUCGAACGAGGGUAGUAAUACCUUAGUGGCGAACGGCGGAGUAAUACAUAAGCAACGUGCCCCGAAGACUGGGAUAUACAGCCGAAAGGCUGGGCAAUACCGGAUGUGACGGAAGGAUGGCAUCAUCUUUCCAUUAAACAGUUUUUUGCUUCGGAGCGGCUUAUGGCCUAUCAGGUAGUUGGUGAGGUAAUGGCUCACCAAGCCGACGACGGGUAGCGGGUCUGAGAGGAUGGUCCGCUCGAGUGGGACGUGAGACACGGCCCACACACCUACGGGUGGCAGCAGUUGGGAAUCUUGCACAAUGGGGGAAACCCGUGAUGCAGCGACGCCGCGUGGAGGAUGAAGGGUCUAGGCCUGUAAACUCCUUUUAUGGGGAAAGACUUAGGACGGUACCCCAUGAAUAAGGACCGGCUAACUACGUGCCAGCCGCCGCAGUAAC